CGUCAAUGCAAACCUCUUAGGUUGGACGUACACUAACAAUUCACCUUGCUUCUUUCAGCUUCAGGCAAAGAAAUCGCUGAGAGACAGUUUUGGUUGUGCAAAUGAUUCCAUGUAAGCUUGACAUGUCACAACAGCAUGAACAAACACAGUAAUAUCAAACAAUAUCAAGCAUCAGGCUAGCAGAAGAGGUAUAUCAGCAGGCAGCAGUGCCAUUGCAUAUAAGACUUUACUGUUUAACUAUUGAGUAAGAGUCAGCUGCCCUAUUAUGUAGAAAUAUUAA